AGCUUUCUAAAUCUGUGUUUAGAUUUCGUCGGACACCAACCCAUUAAGACUGAUGAGAUUACCUCAGAGAUUAAUGGAAUG
rfam:Schistosoma rodhaini strain Burundi genome assembly, scaffold: SROB_scaffold0001682